AUUGAGAGUAUUGAUUUUACAUGUCAGUGUAUAUAUAUUUAUUAUGUAAAAUCGUUUUAAAAACUCAAAAACUAAUAAAAUAAAAUUAAAAUUAUAUAUUUAACUCAGUAAAAUCAUGAUUUUAAUAACGUUUUUAUGUUUUCAUUUGAAAUAUAAAUACCACCUCCCUUGAGAAAGAAACAAACCCUACCUCUUCCUGGAAAAUAUUGCUGCAGCCGCCCCUCAUCUUUCACCGUUUGAUGAAAUAUUGAUACUAUGUUAGACACUGUGUAUUUUUGAAAUCAUUUUUUUUAUUUUUAAAUCAUUUUAAUAUUGUUUAAAGUAUUAAAAAAAAACCAUUACACUUCUAAACUGAAACUUAAAUAGCCUCACCAACGUCGGCGGCCUUCCAGCCACCAUCUCCUUGUCUUUGGAUACCCGCAUCAGUUUCAGUUGAGUUGAGCAAGACUUUAGAGAGGGAAAGGGAAUGGCAGAAACAAAAAUUGUGUCUUACAGUAGAACCAGCUGCUAUUCUACUCUGCUUAUUGUCCAAGAACAGAGACAACGUAGCAAGCUUGGUUGGCAUAAUUUGCUCCAAAUCUGCUCUCAAAGCUGCUAGUAGUUUUCAAAAACCAUGGCGUAACAAGCACCGAUCGAAGAAAUCAAGCUUUUGGUUGACGUAAUUUUCUUCUACAUCAUCUCUACUUCAACAUCUUGGUGAGUUUUCCAUAGAUUUCAUUUCUUUUUAGGUCCUGUUUAUUUACUGAAAAGUAGUUUUUUUAAAAAAAUAAAUUCUAGAAAAGUGAAUUAUUUUCUGAUGUUUUGUAGUAUAAUGAAAAAUAAAUUGAAAAAUAUUUUCCAGUAUUUGGGUAUAUCAUGGAAAAUAAGCUGGAAAAUAACUUAUUAAUGUUUUAUUUUUUUCAAGUUUAUUAAAAUAAUGAAGAACAAAUCUUAUAAAUUAUAAAAUUGAAUGAGAACGAAAUAAAAAAAAAUAUAAUUUUAUAAAUUAUCUCAAAUAAAAUAAAUAAUAAUCAAAAUAAUAGAGAUCAAAUUUAAAAAAUUAAAAAAAUUAAAAGAUGAAAAAAUUAAAAUAAUAAUAAUUAACAUUUCAUAAAUUAUUUCAAAUAAAAUAAGUAACAAUCAAAAGAAUGAGGAUCAAAUUUGAUAAAUAAAAAAUUUCAAUAAAAAAAUGAUAAGGGAAAAGCAAAUAACAAUUAUAAAAAUGAAGACCAAAGUUAAUAUAAAAAUUAAAUUUUAAGAGAUGAAAUUUAAAAAUAAAUAUUCAAAACAAAAUAUAUAUAGCAAUCAAAAGUUUGAGGAUCAAAUUUGAUAUAAUCAAUAAAUAAUAUGACAUUUCUAAAUUUUUCACAACUUCCAAAAAGUGUUUUUCACCUAAAUUUUUCAGGAAAACACUUUCUUGAAAAUCAAGCAAAAUAUUUCUUUAACUGGAAAGUGUUUUUCGUUAACCAAUUUUUCUAAUAGCAAACAAACAUAUAAAAGUUUGGAAAAUGAUUUUCGGAAACCACUUUUCAAGAAAAAAAACAUAGUUUUAGCUCUUGUAAUUUUGGAGUGGAUUUAGGUUUGGGGUUUUUUAAGUGAUUGUGAUGAUAAAUUGUUGCACUAACGUAGGUUUCAAGUAUUCUCUGCAUAUGAACUGAAAUUAAAUGGUUUUGUUAAAUUUUUUUCUUGGAAAGAUCCUUGUUUUUUCAUUUAGUUUAUAGGUUGUUUGUGUUUCUUGCUUAACCUUACUGUAGUGUGAUUGACCAGUUAAUUAUCCAACUUAUAGAUCUUUUUCUUUUUCUUUUAUCAUUAUUAAUGUUUUGGAUUACA